GACCAAAAGAUUGAGUUAUAUAAAUAGGUAAAAAGACAGUUAAGUAAGUAAAAGUCUUGUAAAUUUUUAUAAAAAGGUAAAAUUUGAAUAUAAAAAAGCGAAUUAUAAAAGACUAAUAAACUGAAGCUGUGAGAAUUUUGAGGGAAACUGGGAUUAGAUACCCCAUUAUUCAUAAUCGUAAAGAAGCGUGAUAGCUUACUAGAGUACUAUGAAUUAUAAGAUUUAAAACUCAAAGGGCUUGGCGGUGUUUUAGACCAAUUAGGGGAACCUGUCUCAUAAUCGACAAUCCACGUUAGACCUGACCUGUUUUAGUGAACAGUUUGUAUACCGUCGUCGUCAGGUAACUUUUAAAAAUCAAGAAGUUGGCAAAAUAAUUACAUAUAUUAAGACGUCAGAUCAAGGUGCAGCUAAUAAAGAGGAGAGGAUGGGUUACAAUUAUAAAUUUAUAAUAUGGAAAAUUUAAUGGAAAAAGUUUGAAGGCGGACUUAAAAGUAAUAAUAAUAAUAUAUAAAUAGUUUGAAUUCGGCUCUGAAACGUGC
rnacentral:rRNA from 1 species